GUUCCUACGGGGGGCAGCAGUAGGGAAUUUUCGUCAAUGGGCGCAAGCCUGAACGAGCAAUGCCGCGUGAACGAGGAAGGUCUUCGGAUCGGAAAGUUCUGUUGAAGGGGAAAAAGAGCGGAGAGAGGAAAUGCUUUCUGAUUGAUAUUACCCUUCGAGGAAGUCACGGCUAACUACGUGCCAGCAGCCGCGGUAAUACGUAGGUGGCGAGCGUUAUCCGGAAUGAUUGGGCGUAAAGGGUGCGUAGGAGGCCUGCUAAGUCUGGAGUGAAAGGUACCGGGUCAACCGGGACAGGCUCUGGAAAA
rnacentral:rRNA from 1 species